UAUUAAAUCUUUGUUAGAAGAUACAAAGACAAAGACUCAUACGAACUUAUAAUAGGUUUUUAGUCAAUUAUCCUAAAACACCAAUCAUGUCGUUGUAGUAUUUUAGGUGUCAAUCCAAAUGAGUGUGAUGCAAACAGAUGAGAUGUGAUCAGAAGUCACUAAGUCAAGCCAAGCAAUAACAGUUUUGGGGUUUUUAAAAGUCCUAAGUGAACAUGUAGAAAACAGAAACAAUAACAGAAUUACUAAAAUCACUCGACAACAACAGGCUGAUGCCAGAAGUAGGAUGUGGUCGAGUAACAGGCAGGAUAUGAAACAGAUAUACUCGACAGCACAGUCUGUUGCCAGACACUGGGUGUGGUCGAGUAUACUGGUCGAGUAACAGACAGGAAAUGAGACAACUGUACUCGACUGCACAGUCUGUUGCCAGACACUGGGUGUGGUCGAGUAAGUUGGUCGAGUAAGUUGGUCGAGUAAUUGCAAAAACUAAGAAACAGGCAAUGAGAACGAUUAAGCGAUAACGAUAAAACAGAGAAAUCAGAUAGACGAGAAAUUCCUAAGGAUGGGGUAAUCA
rnacentral:sRNA from 1 species